rnacentral:rRNA from 1 species
UUGAUCCUGCCAGUAAUCAUAUGCUUGUCUCAAAGAUUAAGCCAUGCAUGUCUAAGUACAGACCGAUAUACAAGGUGAAACCGCGAAUGGCUCAUUAAAUCAGUUAUGGUUCAUUGGAUCUUACACGAGUUACUUGGAUAACCGUGGUAAUUCUAGAGCUAAUACAUGCAACUAAGCUCCGACCGCAAGGGAAGAGCGCAGUUAUUAGAUCAAAACCAAUCAGGUUCCUAGUCACCUGAUGAAGUUGUGAUGACUCUGAAUAACAUUGAGCUGAGCGCAUGGUCUCUGGACCGGCGCCGCAUCUUUCAAGUGUCUGCCUUAUCAGCUUGAUUGUAGGUUAUGUGCCUACAAUGGCUAUAACGGGUAACGGGGAAUCAGGGUUCGAUUCCGGAGAGGGAGCCUGAGAAACGGCUACCACAUCUAAGGAAGGCAGCAGGCACGCAAAUUACCCACUCCCAGUUCGGGGAGGUAGUGACGAAAUAUAACGAUGCGUGUCUCUAAUUGAGGCUUCGCAAUCGGAAUGAGUACACUCUAAAUCCUUGUACGAGGAUCAAUUGGAGGGCAAGUCUGGUGCCAGCAGCCGCGGUAAUUCCAGCUCCAAUAGCAUAUAUUAAAGUUGUUGUGGUUAAAAAGCUCGUAGUUGGAUGUCUAAUAUUGACUGAUGGUGCGCCUCUGGCGAUUACUGUCGGUUGAAAUAACUAGUCAGCUUGCAUGCGAUGCUCUUUAUUGAGUGUCGUGCGUGGCUGGCAUGAUUACUUUGAAAAAAUUAGAGUGCUCAAAGCAGGUUAAUGCCUGAAUAUGAUGCAUGGAAUAAUGGAAUAUGACCUCGGUUCUAUUUCGUUGGUUUACUGAACCUGAGUUAAUGAUUAAAAGAGACGGACGGGGGCAUUCGUAUUGCGACGCUAGAGGUGAAAUUCUAUGACCGUCGCAAGACGUACAACUGCGAAAGCAUUUGCCAAGAACGUACUCAUUAAUCAAGAACGAAAGUUAGAGGUUCGAAGGCGAUCAGAUACCGCCCUAGUUCUAACCAUAAACMAUGCUGACCAGCGAUCCGUCUAUGUCAAUCUCAUGACUAGACGGGAAGCUUCCGGGAAACCAAAGUCUUUGAGUUCCAGGGGAAGUAUGGUUGCAAAGCUGAAACUUAAAGGAAUUGACGGAAGGGCACCACCAGGAGUGGAGCCUGCGGCUUAAUUUGACUCAACACGGGGAACCUUACUAGGCCCAGACACUGGAAGGAUUGACAGAUUAAGAGCUCUUUCUUAAUUCGGUGGGUGGUGGUGCAUGGCCGUUGUUAGUUGGUGGAGAGAUUUGUCUGGUUAAUUCCGAUAACGAACGAGACUCUUGCCUAUUAAAUAGUUGGAGGAUUAAAAUUUCAUGUCCUCAUUAGCUUCUUAGAGGUACAAGCGGUAUUCAGGCGCCCGAGAUUGAGCAAUAACAGGUCUGUGAUGCCCUUAGAUGUUCUGGGCCGCACGCGCGCUACACUGAAGGGUUCCGCGUGUUUUCCUUCUCCGAGAGGAGAGGGUAACCAGUUGAAACCCCUUCGUGGUUUGGGAUAGGGGAAUCUCAUCCCCUUAAACGAGGAAUUCCUAGUAAGCGCAAGUCAUCAGCUUGCGUUGAUUAAGUCCCUGCCCUUUGUACACACCGCCCGUCGCUACUACUGAUUGAAUGACUUAGUGAGGCCUUCGGACUGUCGCUCUUGCGGUCUUAGGACUGCAUUGGGCCUGACGGAAAGAUGUCCAAACUUGAUCAUUUAGAGGAAGUAAAAGUCGUAACAAGGUUUCCGUAGGUGAACCUGCGGA